rnacentral:rRNA from 1 species
AUUGAACGCUGGCGGAAUGCUUUACACAUGCAAGUCGAACGGCAGCACGGACUUCGGUCUGGUGGCGAGUGGCGAACGGGUGAGUAAUGUAUCGGAACGUGCCCAGUCGUGGGGGAUAACGUAGUGAAAAUUACGCUAAUACCGCAUACGAUCUAUGGAUGAAAGCGGGGGAUCGCAAGACCUCGCGCGAUUGGAGCGGCCGAUAUCAGAUUAGGUAGCUGGUGGGGUAAAGGCCCACCAAGCCAACGAUCUGUAGCUGGUCUGAGAGGACGACCAGCCACACUGGAACUGAGACACGGUCCAGACUCCUACGGGAGGCAGCAGUGGGGAAUUUUGGACAAUGGGCGAAAGCCUGAUCCAGCCAUUCCGCGUGCAGGAUGAAGGCCCUCGGGUUGUAAACUGCUUUUGUACAGAACGAAAAGGUUUCUACUAAUACUAGGAGCUCAUGACGGUACUGUAAGGAUAAGCACCGGCUAACUACGUGCCAGCAGCCGCGGUAA